CAGGGGGCGGGGCCGGCGGCAGCGCCCGGGGCUGCAGGUCCGCGGCCGGACGGUAGAGGCCUCCCUUCCUAGGCGGCGGCGGCGGCGGCGGCGGCGGGGCGCUCCCCGCUGGGGCUCCUGAGCUCCCGCGUCCUGCGCCGCGAGGUCCGGGUCGGCGGCCCGGGGUGAGCGCUCCCCGCCCGCCCUCCGCCUCCCGCAGGUGGCAGCGCCCCCGCAUCCGAGGCCUUCACCACCCUAUUGUCUGUGUCCAUGGCCCUUUUCUUCCCAGGGCCCGGAGAGACCAGCCCCUGUUCCACAAAGGACACCUGAAUCUGAAGAAAAUACAUGCAGAGCAACUUAGACCCAUUUCUAAAAGUCAAGAAUUGAGAAGGAGGGGAGGAGUGGUUCUCACUAAACACUGAGAACAGGACCAGUUAGAUGGCAAGGCUGUUGCUACUGCAGUUGGGACAUUUCCCACUCCACGCUCUGUCCUCCCCAGGGCCCCGUCUGACACAGAAGCUCCUGUCAGAAACGUGGCUGUCCACUCCAGCGCGGAAGACAUCUGCAGAGCUCGCCUUUGGGGCUCCUGCUGGCCGGGGCUCUGACCCACAGAACUGCAUGUAGCCAGGGGUUUCCUAUACCCCACAAUGGAGCCAUUUGCAGCACAUAGUCUGUUGCUGCUUGAAAACCAUAGACCCGGUAUGCAUCCACAUCUAUAGCAGAGAUGGAAGCCUUGGUAACUAUGGGAUAAAGAUAGAACAUUUUAAAAACAAACACACUGUGUUCAGGGUUAAAAUCACCUGUAUUCACAAUGCUGUCUCUUUCCCUCCACAGUCUCACGCCACCAAGCAACCUCAUCAAUCCGGGCUUAUUUCACUGAUGAUAUACUUUAUACCAGAGAAACUACUAGGUAGCUAUGUAUAACAAUAGAUUGUUAACCAAUUUUAUGGAAACAAAAUGCCCUCCCAUCUUAGAGGAAAAUAUUGAACCUAAACUCAGAUAUCUGAAAACAGAUAACUUAAUAAAGUGUCAAUUUGCAUA